GAUUAGUGGCGAACGGGUGAGUAACACGUGGGCAAUCUGCCCUGCACUCUGGGACAAGCCCUGGAAACGGGGUCUAAUACCGGAUAUGAGUCUCUGCCGCAUGGUGGAGGCUGUAAAGCUCCGGCGGUGCAGGAUGAGCCCGCGGCCUAUCAGCUUGUUGGUGAGGUAAUGGCUCACCAAGGCGACGACGGGUAGCCGGCCUGAGAGGGCGACCGGCCACACUGGGACUGAGACACGGCCCAGACUCCUACGGGAGGCAGCAGUGGGGAAUAUUGCACAAUGGGCGAAAGCCUGAUGCAGCGACGCCGCGUGAGGGAUGACGGCCUUCGGGUUGUAAACCUCUUUCAGCAGGGAAGAAGCGUAAGUGACGGUACCUGCAGAAGAAGCGCCGGCUAACUACGUGCCAGCAGCCGCGGUAAUACGUAGGGCGCAAGCGUUGUCCGGAAUUAUUGGGCGUAAAGAGCUCGUAGGCGGCUUGUCACGUCGGUUGUGAAAGCCCGGGGCUUAACCCCGGGUCUGCAGUCGAUACGGGCAGGCUAGAGUUCGGUAGGGGAGAUCGGAAUUCCUGGUGUAGCGGUGAAAUGCGCAGAUAUCAGGAGGAACACCGGUGGCGAAGGCGGAUCUCUGGGCCGAUACUGACGCUGAGGAGCGAAAGCGUGGGGAGCGAACAGGAUUAGAUACCCUGGUAGUCCACGCCGUAAACGGUGGGCACUAGGUGUGGGCAACAUUCC
rnacentral:rRNA from 1 species